ensembl:rRNA 5S_rRNA 5S ribosomal RNA
UACAGCCAUACCACCCUGAAUGCACCUGCUCUUGUCUGAUCUUGGAAGCUAAGUAGGGUCGGGCCUGGUUAGUACUUGGAUGGGAGAGAUGAGGAUGAACAUGAAA